rnacentral:lncRNA from 1 species
CCCCUUGUCAACAAGCUCGCACGGCUAACAGCCCCUCAUCAUGCUUCUUGGAUGCCAUGAUCGCAUUUGGCUCCAUCAACAUUCUUUUUCUAGAACCAAAUAUAUACAACCCUAAAAUCAGCGCACUCCUCCACCCACCAUUUAACCAGACUUCCAAGACCCUCUCCCUGUAACCGAUAGCUUCCACAUUGCUCCCUCUCUAGAAACCUCACUUCCAGCCACCGAUCUCAUCACCCAGGAGAACAUUCCCGCUCCAUCUGGCCAACUCCCUCAUCAAUUAGGUUUGCACAUGGGUUUGGGUCAACACUUCCAGUAACAGAUGGAAAUUUAUUGAAUUACAAAACAUAAUAACAACACCAGGAACUCUGACACUCAUAGGAAUUAUAUAUGCGACUCGUUGACGUUCGAAACAAGUUGGCAAAUGGAAAGAUACCAAGUGUAUAAGGGGCAAUGAAUAGCUUAUAUUAUCUAUCACCAAAGAGGAUUGGUGAAGCAACACAAUUGUGCAAAGAUAAACACUAAAACACCAGCCAAAUGUCUGAUGAAGGAGCGGAACUCGGUGCUGCUAGCGGGCGCGGCAGGGUUCGCAGGAAACGAUGUGGAAGUUGAACUUGGAAUCGCUGGCUUUGCUGGCAUGGACACGCUUCUCGAACUCGGGCCGUUCUUGGCGACGAAGGCCGUCUUCUUGAUAAUCAUCUGGAUAUCGAGCAGUUGGUGGACGAUGUUGACGAUUCUCUUGUUGGUCGCCACUGGCGGCGCCGAAGUGGCCACGGAGGUGGACUGGCCUCCGAUUAUCUGUCUCUUAGCGUAUACAGUGCCGGAAGAACGGCGAGGGAGUGAUCCGGCGACGUGAACGGCGUCGGAGGAGCAGCAGCGGUACGGGGGACAUGAGUGGCCCCUCUCUCUCCACCGCUCGGGGAGAAGCGCGGACGCAAGAAAGUUUAGAAUCCUUUUAAUCUCCCGUUAGGUCCCGUCUCUACGCGCAUCAAACCAAUAUGAAUCGCCACCCUACGCGCCCCGAUCGGACAGUCUAGAGAGGGAUAGAACGUCGAGUGCUCUUUUGCGCGAAAGACCUAACCCGAAUCAGGAUAUUUAUGCUCUAUAUAGCGGCUCAUCAUGAUCAUGCAUCGUGGCAUCCCCUCGCGAAUCGCAACAACAACUUCAACUUCCUCCUUGAAGGUUGCGUGUCGUAGCAGGGAAACUUUGUUUAUGGAGUGAAAUAUCUGGCAGAGAUUAGCGUGAUGGUGCUACGAAAGCA